rnacentral:rRNA from 1 species
GGGAUUCCCUUAGUAACGGCGAGUGAACCGGGAAAAGCUCAAAUUUGAAAUCUGCCAACAGGCCGAGUUGUAAUUUGUAGAUGGCUACACUGCAUAAUAGUAGAUGCUCAAGUUCUUUGGAAAAAGACAUCAUGGAGGGUGACAAUCCCGUGAGGCAUGUUACUAGGAGCAUAUAGUGGGCUUUCUAAGAGUCGAGUUGUUUGGGAAUGCAGCUCAAAGUGCGUGGUGAAUACCAUGUAAAGCUAAAUAUGGACGAGAGACCGAUAGCGAACAAGUACUGUGAAGGAAAGAUGAAAAGCACUCCGAAAGGAGAGUGAAAUAGUACGUGAAAUUGUUAAAGUGGAAGGGCUUGAGAUCAGAAUUGGUAGUUUGGGUUCCACGUCCUCUUGGGGGCGUGUACUCCCUUUCCACCGGGCCAGCGGGAGUUUCGUCUCUUGGGUAAAAGCAGUGGAAUGUAGCAGCUUGUCUGUAUUAUAGCCUCUGUUCAUACAAGACGUCGAGACUUGAUUUGUUGGCGUAAUGAU